GUGGGUCGUCGCGGCACGGACCUGAGUCACAUUCCCUUUGGCUGCUGUUGCCCCGCGAAACGGAACGCUGCGUUACAGUGUAAUAAUAAUCAACAUCAACUUUUACAAUUUUAAACCGAAUUAAAUUUUGUUUCAAAUGUGAAGGGUAGAUGACGCUGUUCUUAAUUAUUUCAGAAUUUAAAAUUAAAAUCUGAAAGCCUUGAAACAUCAAUCCGCAUAAAUGUAAUUUAAAAACUACAGUAAGAGGCUUAAAUAAAAAGCUGAACUUAACUCAGCCUUAAUUAGAAUUUUCAUCGGAAUUCAGUAGUAAAGUUCAAGUUAUUUUGAUGAAAUCAAAACCGAAAUAUUCAUAGCAUCUUAAACAAUCACCUACGAAUAAAUAUUAGUUAUUAUAUUAUUUAUUAUUCGUAGACAAUCACAACGGUUUUAUAGUUUUGGGAAGGGAUUUUUUGUAACGCCAUCUCGUAAAGUAUUUCGGUAUUACAUUACAAAACAAAAUUGUUUCUCCAACAGUAACAACAGUACUUGCUUCGGCAGUACUUAAACUAAAAUACUAACAGUAAAAACAUUAACGUUAUUUAAUGUAUAAACCGUUCAAUAAGAACUGCAAACUAUCCCCUUGAAGCUACAGUUUAUGUAGGAAUAAUGACUUUUUGGCGGGAACGCGAGGUGUGAAGUUGUGUGAUUUGUUUUAAUUUGUCUAUUUAGUGUUUCUUCGGGUUUAAAUGUGUAAUAAUAGUGGUUUAUUAACUGUUUAAUAUCUGUGAAAGUGCACAAACGUGGGAAAAUGAAACAAAGCCGCUGUACGUAACUUCUCGGUUUCCUCCAAAAAGUCCACUGAGAUCUUAGUAAAUGACCACCACCAUUUUACUGAGAUUAUAUUUCAUUCCAUAUCAUCUCAUCUCAUUUCAUUUCAUCCCUUUUGAUUAAUGUCUCAAAUUAAUCAUCUUCAUUUCAUUUCACUCCAUAAUAUCACAUUUCAUUUCACUCCAUAAUAUCAUUUUUCAUAAAAAUAUGAAUAUAAAUUAAAAUAAGACAUGACUUAAAGGUCUCAGUUACCAGGUCAUAAAAUCCAUUACAAAUAGGAAUAAUUCCAGCGCACCCUGGCGGCCGUAGAUUACCAUUCUCGAAUAUUUAUAGUCUGUGGCAUGUCACUUUUUACAUCGAAAAAAGUCAGGAUCGAAAUUUUUGAGCGAGCCAUAGUUUGUGGUGAUAAAAUUAAUAAUUUCAAGUAGAUUAAUUGUUGUAAUUGAUAUAACUAGUUAAUAUCAGUAAAAUAAAGUUGUGAGUGAUUGAUAUAAUAUAAAAUUUAGGAACCAGAAGUACCGUAGAAUUAAAUAAAAUUUCGCAACCUCAAAAAACUGUUCUGCUCACAGUAAACACAGUCGGUAGUCUGGCGCUCCGUUUACAACGGGAUUUUUGAACGGAACUUGGCGCCAGAUUCUACCGAAUCUGUGGAUCUAAAUGAGCUAAGACUUCGGAUAGUCGUUUUUUGGAACAUUAUUUGUUAUGUACUUAUGAAAGAAGUACUUAUAUUAUAUACUAUACUAUAUACUAAUAAAUAUGUACUUAUAUUAUAUUUUAGUUUAAUCAUUAAAGCUUUAAAUGAAGAUGAGUCAUCAAAAUCGAUCAUGAAUAUUAAUACAACACACAGACAAAAAAUUUCAUUCACUCGCGAAGCAGGUGCCCUUGAGUUGUUGGGUCUCUUUUGGAGGCGUUCGGGCAACUGUUAGCAAAUCCCAUCCCUCCCGGCUGAGCAUUUGCUUGCCCACACCUGUCCUGGUGAAACUGGAAAGGCCUUCAGGAUACCAGUAAUCCUUUUGAAAAAAGAAAACAAUCACGCAAGUUUGAUUUUGUGACACGAUGUUAUACAAUCGUCGACGACGCCGUUAAUGACACAGAAGCCUAUAUUUUUGUAAAAUAAUACGCAAGCCCCAAAAUAAAGUUAUGCCAUAAUCGAAUAUCUACGAAUACAGUUUUAUAACAAGACCAAAAUAUUUAACAUUCAAAAAGAAAUUAUUCAUGACCAAUUCCAGAUACUAACUAAAUUGUUUUUUUUUUAAAUCCGUUUUUAGAUUAAUGGAAUAUAAGAAUGGUUGCUCUAUCUGAACUUGCUCCUCUUUUAAGAUAUUUCUAUGUAAAUAACGUUCAAUAUUUUUUGUGAAACUCAAUUUGUUAUCAUAACGUUUUUCACAGGAAAUCGCUUUAGUGAAAAAUACCUUAAGCCUUAUAUUUCACUUAUCUUUGUCUAAUUUGAUUUUGUUUAACGAUUAUGUUACUUAGCACGUAAAUGAGAGUAUUGUUCGUAUGUAUCAUAGUUGAAUAUAAAAAUAUUUAAGUGGUCCUAAUUGAUGAUAAAUGAUCUCCAUAAUCAGAUAACCAAGGCUGACAAUACCCGUGUUGAUUUAUAAGGUCUCUCUGAUCUCUGAUCUCUUGAAGAAUUAUCUUUCGAUCGUUCUCGAAAUAAAUAAAUAAAACUGAUCUUCCGAAA